UUGUCAGGCGUCUGCGCGGUCUGAGCACUAAAGGCAGAAGCAAGCUUUGCGUGCUCUCGCCGGUGCAGGGAACAAUGGGGACCGUGUGGAGCUGUCGUUCUCACUACAGGACAUAAAAAACAUCUAGAGGGCUGAUAAAACUCUCAGAUGUUCUGAUUCAGCAGAUGUGGAGUGGAGUCCAUUAAUCUUCAAUUCUAACAAGGCAAGGAGAGCUGUGCAGGCUGCAGAGGCCCCAAGUCAGCCAGGAUGCCAUGCUGGGCUGUGUGGAUACCAUACAGCCAGUCUCGCCUGUGUCAGCCAAACUGCCGCAGCCCCUCACCCACGGCCAAGAAGAGAAACUGCCUGGAGUGCUCAAAGAGGGCAAACCUGAAUGGGAGCCUGGUCCUCACGUCCUGGAUAUAAUUCUUUAGGAGAACGUGUAAUAGCCCUAAGCCUUGCCUCCCCUCACACACAGACAGCACCGAAGGGCAUGAUCUGUUCUUUUAAGACCCUGAACAAAUGUACCCGUGACACACGGCUCUGACGUGCCGAUUGAUGCAGUCCCGGUUGUAAAAGGAUGCUAACAUAAGAUAGACAAUUCCCAAUCGCCUACUUCCUAGAUUUCACAAAAAAGCAAAAACGACGAAGAGUUAGAAAGUUGGAAAAGAGCUGAGAUCAGGAAAGGACACAGAGCGGUCCCCUGCUCUACCCGCUUGAGGGCUGUCGGACAAGGCGGGAAAGCAGGGUAAGUCGAAGACCGUAGCGUAUCGUCCUGCGGAGCAAGAAGGGCACAUGAGCCAUGGAUGAAGAUCUGACCGCUUCUAACAAAGCCCCGCUAGGACGCUAAGAGCUAAGAAAGAGGAGGCCUGGGAAAAUGAUAAGAAUGAAGAGGGAAAUGUUAUGGUGCUUAAUGAAAAACACGAUUAAAGUUUUUACGGGUUAAGGAAAGUAGGAUGUAUAGUGUCUGUAAAAAACAAUGUGAGGAAUGGAGAUGCAUUUUUAUUGAAGGAAAAAAGUAAGUUUGUUCUAGAGGAAAAUGAUUGUUCUGGAGUAAGAAUGGAAAAAAGGACAAGACCCAAACAGAUACAACAAGGUGCAAAAAGUUCAUGAAAAGGAGUCUUAUGAAAGGAAUUUUAUGUGUGGACAAGCUGUCCAAGGUUGAAAUAGAUUUAAGUUAACAAAGGGGGGGAGAUUUUUAUUCUUAAAAGUAUACUGAUACACUGCAAGAUUAGAAUUCGGUAUUCUCUUUGUUAAAAAGACAAAAUUUUCUUAAACUAUUCCUCUGCUCAUAGUAAGAAAAUAUAAACAAAGUUUGUUUGCCUUUAAUAUGGGUCAUCUUGGGAGACAAAGACUCUGUGUCUUGGGAAAAUGUUUCCUGUGCUUCACAUAGUCUUCAUCAAAUCCUUGAAUACUAAACAAAAACAAAAACUGAGUUUUCUCUAUUAAAAGAC